CCAGUUGGGCAGGGAAUAUACCAUGAUCACGAAGGUGGUUUUCCCAGGGCGAGGCUUUACCCAUUGCACUCCGGAUGUGCUGACCCCUGCGAUUUCCCCAAAUGUGGGAAACUCGACUGUGUAAUUUGUGGCAGUGGGGGACCGCGUUCGUGCUUUCCCCUA